rnacentral:lncRNA from 15 species
CCCUAUAUACCGCACCACGGCCACCAUUGCAUCGUAAUGGUCUGCGGAAAUCAUUCUACCAUUUCAGCUUCAAUUUGGCAACUAUAUAGUGCAUCCCAUGAAAAUGGCGGAUGAUAUUGCAUCGACGAUCCGGAGAAAGCAGGUAACAAAUCAAACUGGAAGACCAAUACUCUCGUAGAAGCUGUUGGUAUUUUACCUCUGAACUUGUAUACGAGAUUGUGAGGUGCUAUUCUGGAUAAAUACCUGCCAUCAAUAAGGGAAUUUUGUGAGAUAAACCUAACGACAAAGGAUCCACGUCGAACAUUUUUUGACUAUUUUGUGCAGCCAAUGAAGCAGCAGGACCAGUGACGCGUUGUGCAAUCAUUUCCUACGCUCAUCCUCUGGCGUGCUGUGCUGGUGGUGCGGCCUGCGGUGGUGGUAGUACGGCACUGGUAUACAUGUACAUGGUACAUGUACACACUCAUGUGUGAACCUGCGUGUAUCAGACAUAAAAUCUAACUAAAUAACAAAGUCGAAGACUGUAUUGUCACAUGGAAUAUAUAGAGCAUCUUUAUUAUUGUCUGGCAGCUACUACAUGUACCUCAACAACUCGAACAUUGAGAUUCUGACUUCUGAGUCCUUGACUCCGAUUGAUUUGUCUGCAUGUGCUGCUAAACCUGAGGUCAAUUUAAAUUUUUCUUCAACUUUGGAUUUUUAAGUCUCAUAUCGCACUGUUCUUGUUUGCAUAUUGUGAAGAAUAAUAGACUGCAUUUCAAUCAAUCGUUUACCAGUCCUCUGGAAUAUAUUUGUGGAUCUUAUUCAAAUCGAAGACAGUGACAAUUUUAAGAGGUGCUUUGUGGACAUCAGGGAUGAAGGAUAUUUUCGACAUUCGGUAGCAAAACAUCAAGACAUCAAAAUGAGUAGCAGAAAUGCACAUCACAGUUUAACGAAGAAUAUGAAGGCGGACCCAGAGAAGCUCUACACGAAGCUAGAGCGUAUCGGCAAGGGUUCCUUCGGCGAGGUCUACAAGGGCAUAGACAACAUCUGCAAGGAGAUCGUAGCCAUCAAGAUCAUCGAUCUAGAGGAGGCUGAAGAUGAGAUUGAAGACAUUCAGCAAGAGAUCACCGUCCUCAGUCAAUGUGAUUCGAUUUAUGUCACAAAGUACCAUGGCUCAUACCUCAAGGGCACCAAGUUAUGGAUCAUCAUGGAGUACCUGGGAGGAGGGUCCGCCUUAGAUCUUCUCAAGUCAGGUGCAAUGGAUGAGAUCUACAUUGCAACCAUCCUACGUGAAGUCAUCAAGGGAUUAGAUUAUCUGCACUGUGAGAGGAAGAUACAUAGAGAUAUCAAAGCUGCAAAUGUAUUACUGUCUGAGAAUGGCGAUGUCAAACUGGCUGACUUUGGUGUAGCCGGUCAACUCACAGAGACACAGAUAAAGAGAAAUACGUUCGUUGGUACACCGUUCUGGAUGGCUCCUGAAGUCAUUAAACAGUCAGCUUACGACUCAAAGGCUGACAUGUGGUCCUUAGGCAUCACAGCUAUCGAGCUGGCUAAAGGGGAACCCCCUAACUCUGAUCUUCACCCCAUGAGAGUCCUCUUCCUCAUCCCAAAGAACAACCCACCCAAGCUAGAAGGCAGCUAUACCAAGAACUUCAAGGACUUUGUAGAAGUCUGUUUAAACAAAGACCCACGGCAUCGGCCGACAGCCAAGGAGCUACUAAAACACCGCUUCAUCAAGCAAGCAAAGAGAACCUCCUACCUGACAGAGCUGAUUGAGCGUUAUAAGAGGUGGAAGGCAGAGGGUAACGACUCGCCGGACUCAGACCCAGAGGAUAAUGAAUUCCCUAAUGAGUCGCUUCAGAAUAACUUGCCUGAUUUUGACUACGGGAACACGAUCAGGGGACCACAGUACAUUCCUGAGCCUCCUCAUCCUGAACCAGUUGAAUCUAUCCCUAGAAGACAACCUAAAUCAGAGUGCAUUCAGUCCCUCCUUGGUCCUAUACUCAGAGAUCUCAAGCGCAAGAAUGAGGGUUUAUCCGGUGCCAUCGAUGAGCUUCAGAACAGCUUUGAUAUGGCAGAAGAGUCGAGUCCAGGAAUCUGUGAUAGAUUAGUCAGUCAGGUUGUCUCUAGAGUAGAAAGUCCUCCAAGACCAUCAGUGUCAAGAUCAGGUCAACAUUAACCAAUCAUCACACCCCCACCCACCAGCAGCCAUCGUGUCAUGCUCGUGAACAGAACUGUACCAGCAAGCCAAGCAUGAGCAAGCAAGCCAAGACUGUAUGAACAAUGAUGAGCACGGUCAAUAAUGCGGCACAAGACACCAUUGUGUCCUCAUCGGUGGUGACUUCUUUGCGGCAGGCAUUCGUGUCAUUGUACUGGUUCAGAUGCUAGAUGGCAAGGAAGAGAUUAGGAUGUCAUUGAUGAUAUCAACAGAGAAGGGCAUUUUUCAGAAAGGGCGUAUCAUCGAUACCAAGCUGUAAAGAAGGAUGUGUGAUGAUUAUCAAGCGGUAGAGUGUGUGCUUUGAGAUGCUUAACCCAUUGCUUACUGGAACCUUGUGGCUCUUGUAUAAAGCCUAUGACAAUGAAUGAAUUCAGUAGUCAACCGGUUAAUGGCUAAUCUUUUCAGGAUUUGUCAGCAUUGGAGAGAAAGAAGUUUCUUGUUUAAAGGAGACAGAAGUGAUUGAUUGAUGUGUCCAUUCGCUUUCAUAGAAGAGUUACAGCCAGAGUGAGAGAUGAUUAGUAGAAAUGCCUUACUCCAGUUCUAGUACAGCAUGUAGACGUGUCUCCCUCCAUUGGUACUGCUAAGAACGGUGUCACAAGAAAUAGCCUUCAGACAGACAUUAUUAACAUCAUAACACUCUCUUGUUCCAGUCUACAGUAAUGACAGUAGAAAUAGUAUAUGUAUCUGGCUGGAUUUUCAUUACAUUUGAUGCUUGUAGACUCGGCUUCAUGGAGAGUCGUUAUGACAAACACUUGCGGAAAAACCCUUCUGUGAAUUUGUGCAUGUUCAUGAAAGAAAGGAUCGUCCCGCAACCUUUGCUUUUGCGAGGAACCCUUAUCUUCAUUUUCGGGUUGUAUGCUAUAAGAUUGUAAUAUCCCUGUUACAAUGCAACUAUACUGCUUAGCUCUGUCUCGCUACAAUUUAAUAUGAUACAGUGUUACUGAGUAACCAUACAUUUACACUGUAGCUCUUGUAUAGGGUAAUACAUCCAUUAAUUCUUCUCUUUUCCUCACUGUAACACAGACCCUAGUUUGAUCUUCAACAUAAUCUUACUUACACUAAUACAUCUGAUAGAUAAUCAUCAGUGUAAUAUACUCAUUUUGACAUAUAAAUAUAUAUAUAUUUUUGCAUACUAUUUCUAUCUCUCAUAUAACCCCAAUAUUAUUGUAUGGCCAUAGGGAGAUGCCCUAACAGUGUUUAAAUGAAAGCAAGUUUCUUUCUGUUUACAGAAAGAACUCAUCAUUUUCCAGGCUUAUUUUUAAACAGAAUAUUCUGAAUUUACAGCAUAAUAUACACUAUUAACGAUUAUAAAGGUGUUAACAAAAACAAAAGACAAUUCUGCUUUCCUUACAAUGGCAGCAAUACGCUCAAGGUAUUUGGCACCAGAGUUCAACUUUGUUGUACUAUCUAACAUUUGUAAACCUUAGUGAUCAGACAGCCUGAAUUCAAAAUUAUUUGGUCUGUGAUUUAUGAGUAUUCUGAAUAUGUAUUGGGCAUCGAUUAGACAGAAGAGCUGCUGAUGGGCAGGGAAAAUCCCCUAGAAAUGAACACACACACACAUACAGACAAAUAGACAGACACAGACAAACAAAGACAAACACUGUUGGGGUAAACAUGUGGCCAGGUUUGUUGAGAAUGAUAGUAAUAUUUGAGAUGUGCUUAUGAUGUACAUGUAGAUUUAGGCUUCCAUGUUGGUAGGUUCCAGUCUCUCUUUCAUCAAUUUGAUAAUGAGUUUGAAAUGUUCUGUCAUCGUAUUAUGAUUUUUUUUUUUCCUUCUCCAUGUAUGUGUGUUGUAAAGAAGGAACAGAUGUGGUUGUAUUUAUUCCUUAUGUCAAUCAGAUUUUGGUAUGAUAGACUGAAUAUAAUUUCAUAUUAGAUGAAUUUCAUUGAUGUAGGUUUAUCGUUUGCAUAUUGACCUCUGACCUCUCAGAUGCAAUAAGUUAUUCAUCCUUGAUGGAAACAGGUUUGAGGUUUGUAACCCAACGUCAAGAUGCUUUUAUUUUAAGUUGUUUCUUCUCAAAGUUAACCUCAAAGUUAAUCUCAAGCAGAUUCUUAUUCAUACAGCACCUAUACCAUAUUUUCACUUUUGUGCUAUUGAUUUCAUUUCAGAAUCGUAAAUGGCCUAUUUCAUCUUCAAGUCCAAUCUGUGUAUUUAUGAAUCAAUUGAGGGUUAGAUUGUUUUGAGAUUACGUGCUCUUGCAUUUCUGAUAUCCCAGAAGCAAUUCCAUCAUUGUUAUAAUUUAAAACGAUACUUGAAGUAAUUUGCUUGACAAUAUGAAUUAAAAAGGAUGGCUGUUUUUUUUUAUAAAUCAAGUGUGAUGAUAAAAGCCCGGUUAUCAGGAUUUUGUCAUUGCAAGUGCACCUCUCACAAUAUGCAAUAAUCAGUUGUGUGCGAUACAAUUCUGAAUCAACUUCCAUGAUCUUUACUACGUAAUGAUACCAAAUGAAUGAGCUACAGAAUCACACUCUCCAUGUAUA